AACGAACGCUGGCGGCAGGCUUAACACAUGCAAGUCGAGCGCCCCGCAAGGGGAGCGGCAGACGGGUGAGUAACGCGUGGGAACGUACCCUUUGCUACGGAAUAGCUCCGGGAAACUUGUGCUAAUACCGUAUACGCCCUACGGGGGAAAGAUUUAUCGGAAUUAGAUGAGCCCGCGUUGGAUUAGCUAGUUGGUGGGGUAAUGGCCUACCAAGGCGACGAUCUAUAGCUGGUCUGAGAGGAUGAUCAGCCACACUGGGACUGAGACACGGCCCAGACUCCUACGGGAGGCAGCAGUGGGGAAUAUUGGACAAUGGGCGCAAGCCUGAUACAGCCAUGCCGCGUGAGUGAUGAAGGCCUUAGGGUUGUAAAGCUCUUUCAGUGGGGACGAUAAUGACGGUACCCACAGAAGAAGCCCCGGCUAACUACGUGCCAGCAGCCGCCGUAAUAC
rnacentral:rRNA from 1 species